GUGGCCUGCAGGCUUCCAGAAAAAGGGGGAGAUUAGUGAGCUAGCAGCAAAGAAGCCUUCCUGGAAAAGUCUUCAAAGCUACACCUAUACCUGUUCCUGUAUUAUGGAAAAAUAAUAAGAUAAACCUGGCCAGCUAUACAAAUGCUCUGAGGGUUGAGAUAACAUGCAAAUGUAGCCUCACAUAUCAAUGUGUGAAAGCUGGACAGACCACACAGCUCAGAAAAGGAAGUACACUCUGCAUAGCUGACUUGCACAUUCACUAUCCAAGCUGCACCAUCUUCGGGGUCAUUGUGUGCCAGGCAUAUCAACUCUUUUCAAUAAAAAUGCCCCCAGAAGACUGGAAAUUUGUUAUUCCUUCCUUAUUACGGAGAGGAUACCUUCCUUUUGUCAGCCCCCAGUGAGAGGACAGGAGUUGAGACGAUGACUCCUGUGGUUGCUCAGUUGGAGGUUGUGCAUUGCAGACAUUGGAACAGGGAGAAUAAAGGGAUCAUUCAAUGAUG
rnacentral:sRNA from 1 species